AAAUAACACAUUUGAAAACAUGUAAUAACAAAAAAAGUGUUUUUAUACUUGAGAUUGUUCAAAGUAGCCACCCUUUGCCUUGAUGACAGCUUUGCCCACUCUUGGCAUUCUCUCAACCAGCUUCACCUUGAAUGCUUUUCCAACAGUCUUAAAGGAGUUCCCACAUAUGCUGAACACUUGCUGGCUGCUUUUCCUUCACUCUGCAGUCCAACCCAUCCCAAACCACCUCAGUUGGGUUGAGGUUGGUGAUUGUGGAGGCCAGGUCAUCUGAUGCAGCACUCCAUCACUCUCCUUCUUGGUCAAAUAGCACUUACACAGCCUGGAGGUGUGUUUUGGGUCAUUGUCCUGUUGAAUGAUAGUCCCACCAAGCGCAAACCAGAGUGGGACAGUGGGAACCACACAUGCGGAGAUCAUCCGUUCACCUACUCUGCAUCUCACAAAGACACGGCGGUCAAAUUUGUACUCAUCAUACCAAAGGCCGGAUUUCCUCAAGUCUAAUGUCCAUUGUUUGUGUUUCUUGGCCCAAGCAAGUCCCUUCUUAUUAUUGGUGUUUAGUAGUGUUUUCUUUGCAGCAUUUCAACCAUGAAGGCCUGAUUCAUGCAGUCUCCUCUGAAUAGUUGUGUCUGUUACUUGAACUCUGUGAAGCAUUUAUUUGCGCUGCAUUUUCUGAGGCUUGUAACUCUAAUGAACUUAUCCUCUGCAGCAGAGGUAACUCUGGGUCUUCCUUUCCUGUAGUGGUCCUCAUGAGAGCCAGUUUCAUCAUAGCGCUUGAUGGUUUUUGCGACUGCACUUAAAGACACUUUCAAAGUUCUUGACAUUUUCCGUAUUGACUGACCUUCAUGUCUUAAAGUAAUAACGGACUGUUGUUUCUCUUUGCUUAUUUGAGUUGUUCAUAAUAAUAUGGACAUGGUCUUUUACCAAAUAGGACUAUCUUCUGUACACUUCUGUACACCACCCCUACAUUGUCACAACACAACUUAUUGGCUCAAACGCAUUAAGAAGGAAAGAAAUUCCACAAAUGAACUUUUGACAAGGCACACCUGUUAAUUGAUAUGCAUUCCAGGUGACUACCUCAUGAAGAUAGUUGAGAGAAUGCCAAGAGUGUGCAAAGCUGUCAUCAAGGCAAAGGGUGGCAAAAUAUAUUUGGAUUUGUUUCACACUUUUUUGUUACUACAUGAUUCCAUAUCCGUGUUAUUUCAUAGUUUUGAUGUCUUCACUAUAAUUCUACAAUGUAGAAAAUAGUCAAAAUAAAGAAAAACCCUUGAAUCAGUAGGUGUCCAAACUUUUGACUGGUACUGUAUAUACAAUAUAAAACUAUGUAGGGCUGGGCGAUAUCGCCAACAUAUCAUAUCACAAUAUUGUUCUCUGAAUUGUAAAAGUUCUACAUAUGUUUUAUGAGUAGUGCAUGACCUUUGAUUGGAAACAAAAUGGUACUAAGUGGUUUUAAUGGGCUUUCUCCAUUCUGAUGGCUUAAUACUCAACCAAACCAGGACAAAACUGACAGUGAAGUAGUCCAAUGUGUAGAACUUUUCAUUUAAUUCAGCACUGUAUCAAAAUAUUGUUAUAGACAGUGUUGUAAAAAUCCAUACCGGUGUGUGAAUCCAUACCGGUGUGUGAAUCCAUACCGGUGUGUGAAUCCAUACCGGUGUGUGAAUCCAUACCGGUGUGUGAAUCCAUACCGGUGUGUGAAUCCAUACCGGUAUACCAGUACUCAUGAUGCAUCGCCCAGCCCUAAUACUAUGGGGUAGUUUAACAGUACCAGACACAGAUUAAGUCAAGAGAUUCUCCAUUGAGCCUGCUUUUUAUUCCCAGACUUAGUCUAUGUUCUGGAAACCACCCCUAUGUGUUCUACAGUAUGUACUUCUAUGGUCUCAAUAGACUUCAGUCAGUAGCGUCUCGUGGCUCUGUGAUUGGUUAGUAGCAUCUCUCGUGUUCCUUUGAUUAGCCGAGCUGUGAGCGGUGGCGUGCAGACAGGCAGACAGGUAGGCAGAGCGUGGCCCCGUGCGCAAGCAGUGACUGUGACACGCAGUGACACGCCUAACCCCCCUGCCCUGCGCCUCUCCUCUCUCGUCUGGCGUACCUCUCCAAACUGGCCUCACGUUUCUCGACUACGGGCCCCGAUGGCUGCCUGGGCAUAGAGCCAGUCAGUCUGCAAGGCAAAACAAGCAUCCAUGUCUGUCUCUAAUGUGGUGUACACCAGCCAUAGAACCGCUCUUCUAUUUCUACACCACACUGGAGUUUAGCUUUGUCUUUAGUCUGGCUUACGCUUGAGAUGGUGACAUUUAACUUUGAAUGUCUCACCUGUUAUUGCCAUUGAAAAACAGACUUUUAAACAAUUUAUUAGAGAGGAUUUUACAGGAAAACAACAACAACAACAUAGACAAUGUAGCAACAAUAUUUUAAAUCGUGCAGGAAAUACAAACCCAUAACCAAUCCCCCUAAUCACCAUGUUGUCUCAUGUCUCCUACUAACACUACAGUAAGUACACUCCCUCAGACCCCUCCAUGUUGUCUCAUGUCUCCUACUAACACUACAGUAAGUACACUCCCUCAGACCCCUCCAUGUUGUCUCAUGUCUCCUACUAACACUACAGUAAGUACACUCCCUCAGACCCCUCCAUGUUGUCUCAUGUCUCCUACUACUAACACUACAGUAAGUACACUCCCUCAGACCCCUCCAUGUUGCCUCAUGUCUCCUACUAACACUACAGUAAGUACACUCCCUCAGACCCCUCCAUGUUGUCUCAUGUCUCCUACUAACACUACAGUAAGUACACUCCCUCGGACCCCUCCACGUUGUCUCAUGCCUCCUACUAACACUACAGUAAGUACACUCCCUCAGACCCCUCCAUGUUGUCUCAUGUCUCCUACUAACACUACAGUAAGUACACUCCCUCAGACGCCUCCAUGUUGCCUCAUGUCUCCUACUAACACUACAGUAAGUACACUCCCUCAGACACCUCCAUGUUGUCUCAUGUCUCCUACUAACACUACAGUAAGUACACUCCCUCAGACCCCUCCAUGUUGUCUCAUGUCUCCUACUAACACUACAGUAAGUACACUCCCUCAGACCCCUCCAUGUUGUCUCAUGUCUCCUACUAACACUACAGUAAGUACACUCCCUCAGACCCCUCCAUGUUGUCUCAUGUCUCCUACUAACACUACAGUAAGUACACUCCCUCAGACCCCUCCAUGUUGUCUCAUGUCUCCUACUAACACUACAGUAGGUACACUCCCUCAGACCCCUCCAUGUUGCCUCAUGUCUCCUACUAACACUACAGUAAGUACACUCCCUCAGACCCCUCCAUGUUGUCUCAUGUCUCCUACUAACACUACAGUAAGUACACUCCCUCAGACGCCUCCAUGUUGCCUCAUGUCUCCUACUAACACUACAGUAAGUACACUCCCUCAGACACCUCCAUGUUGUCUCAUGUCUCCUACUAACACUACAGUAAGUACACUCCCUCAGACCCCUCCAUGUUGUCUCAUGUCUCCUACUAACACUGCAGUAAGUACACUCCUGUGUGUGUGUGAGUGUGAGUGUGAGUGUGUGAGUGUGAGUGUGUGUGUGUGUGUGUGUGUGUGUGUGUGUGUGUGUGUGUGUGUGUGUGUGUGUGUGUGUGUGUGUGUGUGUGUGUGUGUGUGUGUGAGUGUGUGUGUGUGUGUGUGUGUGUGAGUGUGUGUGUGUGAGUGUGAGUGUGAGUGUGUGUGUGUGCUUCUGUCUCACAUAUUGUAACAUCUCUACUCUGUAAAUCCACACUGCAGCAGAUGAAAACAACCUUAAUCUUAUCUCCCCUGUUAUUUACUCACCGGAGGGUUUUGUUGUGGUGGUUUAUCCUUCAGGUAUGAAGUGCUGUGUCUGACCUGGCCUCAUCCCUGCCUGCGUCCCAAAUGGCACCAAAAUCCAUAUAUAGUGCACUACUUUGAAACAGAACCCUAUGGGCCCUGGUUAAAAGUAGUGUAACUAUAUAGAGAAUAGGGUGCCAUUUGGGAGGCAGACCAUCUUUCAUACAAACACACAUCUAUUUUUCUCUGAUAUUUGAGAAACAAGUAAGUUCAUUCUUGGUCCAUUAUUGCAGUAUCUUUCUAUCUUUCACAGGAGCCUGUAGAUUGUGUUUACACCGUGUUUUCUCCCGUUCAGGGAUUACCGGAAUGAACGAGGGAAGAGAUUGGUGUCUACACAGACAGUAGUUAUAUUGUACACUUACUGGUCUGCUGAACAGGUAAUACAUAGUACUACUGAAAGAAAGUCACUAUAUAGAAAAACUAUUCUGUACAUCCUUUCAUAUACAAGUCAUACUCGUUCUCAGACCUAAAAGACCUAAAACAAAAGUACUUUCACUGAGGUAAAAGAGUUGUUAGUUUGACAGCUGUAUCUCUCUUUAUCUUCAUGCAUAUUGAGAGUGAUACUGUCAUAAUGUAAUUAUGUUACACUGCCAAGUGUCUACAGUAUCUGUCAUUAUGUGACACUGGUAUACGUAACUCACCCUUCAUAGAGGUUGCAGGUGUCCACACAGAUGCGUCCCCGGCUGAAGUAGCGACAGGCCAGGCACUGGUCUGGUCCCGGCCCCCAGCAGCCAGCGUCCGAACACAGAGGGUCACACACCAUCCGCUCAGUAGCUGAGAAACAUAGGAAUACAGGUUAAGACUAGGGUUAGGGGUCAAACAGAAGGUCAGAAUCCAUCCACAGUAGCAUGACAGGGUUAGGUACUGGACAAUAUUUAUCUUUUUUAAUUGGAAAGGAUAUGGGUGGAGCCAUUGGCUACUAAAAUUACAACUUUUCUUUUUCAAGGCUAUUGUGUUAAUCUGAGGCCAGUCAGUCAAACAGUGGUUUCAACUCAACCAUGAGCUCUCCUUCCUCUCCUCUCUCUCUUCCAGGUCCAUCUGAGGGAGGGUGGAUUAAUGGUCACAUGUUAAUCGUCUAUACUGUACUGUCCGUGUGUCUGCCAUCUGCAAAAGUGUGCCAUCACAGCAGCAAGAUGUGUGACCUGUUGCCACGAGAAAAGGGAAACCAGUGAAGAACAAACACCAUUUUUGGACUCCACGGACGUCAGGUCCGUCUCCAGGGAGACGAGGAGAUGCUCGAGGGGACUGUGGAAUGAGCCGAGCAACCAGAGCCGAGAGAACGCUUCCAACAACGGUCCGUUAUCGGGAGACAAUACCCAUCACUGUUGCAUCACACAUAACAUCCUACUUCUUAAUGAAAAACGAGGGAGUGAAAAAUAAAGACAUUUAAGAAUGAAAUAAAAACACCACAUGUCCCUUUGAUUCUCAUCAAGGUUAUUCAGGGAUGAAGAGAAGAGACCUAAAUGUG